rnacentral:rRNA from 1 species
UCCUUCAAAAAUAUUUAUCAUUUCCAACAUAUAUCUUGCUUGCAGAAAUCGAUUGACUGCUAUAAGGCUUAUACAAAGGAUAAUAAUGUUAAUAACAAGACAGUACAGCCAGAUAUACAGCAAGUCAAAGCCGAUACUGUAAGCUUGGCAAAGAAACUUGAAGCUCUUGAAGUUUCGAAGCUAAAGAUCUUGGGCGAAAAUUUAGGAGGGUGCUCUGCUGAAGAACUGAACUGUCUAGAAGUAAAUAUUGAGAAGAGUCUCCACAUCAUCAGAGGAAAGAAGACCCAGGUGCUCGAACAGCAGAUAGCUAACCUGAAAGAGAAGGAGAGGACGCUUCUCAAAGACAACGAAGACUUGCGCGGAAAGCAGCGCGACAUUGAGGCGUCGCUGGUGGUUCCUGCCCUGAACUGCGUCACGCCCCUGCAGAUACGUGGCCAGCUGGCACCACAGCAGGAGCCGGUACCGAGCGAUGAGGAGACGGAGCUCUACAUUGGGUUGCCCGGGGUUCGCUGCUCCAACUGGCGGUCAGGUCAAGCCAAAUAG